AGUGAAUCCUAGGCCUCGAAUGUGAGGGUGCAGGAGUGAGUUGAGAGGUUCCAGGCAUUUUUUGGGAACACUUGCUCUGUGAUAUAGCCUGGGGAUACACUGGAGAAAAAGAUGACAUAUCUUCCCCCAAAGGAGCACCUAGUCCAUGGAGGAGAAAGAGAAGAGAAGCAUGUCAGCAGAAUGUGCUAGGAACAUGAUGCAGCAGAUCUCGCACAGGGUGGAUCCACAGGCACACCAGCCAAGGAGAAAGUGCUCUUAUCUUCAAAACCGUCCGAGAGGAAGAUUUUAUAACCUGCCUUGGUUACUUAACAAAGAAGA